AUGGAGCAGUUCCAGGACGGCCACCACAUGCGGCUGCGGAGCCGCGAGCGCGGCACGUACCUGCACGCCGACGACGACGGGCUUGGCGUCUCCCUCCGCCGGAACCACGCGUCGAGAGUAAAUACCUGGGCGGUGCACAUCUACCAGGGAAAUGGCAACAACCAGUACGUGCUCCUCCACAGCGCUGCCUACGGCCGCUAUCUCGGCGCCACGGACGCGCCGGCGCGGCGAGGCCACAGCGGGCGCCGCGUCGAGCAAUGCGACUACGAGCCCUGGGAGGAGAUGGCCAUCAGGUGGCAGGUCGUCAGGAUCGGCUCGGGGGACGAUAUCCUGCUCCGCCAGGCGGUCGCCGGCCGCCUCCGCGCCAACGGGAGGUACCUCAGCGUCGACGCCUUCAACAGCGUCGGCCCGAUGAUGCAUUGGGUCGUGGAGCAAAUCCCCGCUAGGGAGGACACGCCUAGCCUUGCAGCUCCGACUGGGGUGAGUCCGCCAUGCCCGCUUCUUCAUACUUCUUGGGUGUCGUUAGUUUGCGUCAGAAUUCAACCGCGGAGAUUGCAGAUUGUGUUAAUUUCAUUCGCCAAAUUUGCGCUAUGCCUGCUUCUUGAUUCUUCCCGAAUUGGGUUCCGAUAA
rnacentral:rRNA from 1 species